UACGUAGGGUGCGAGCGUUAAUCGGGAAUUACUGGGCGUAAAGCGUGCGCAGGCGGUUCGUUGUGUCGGCGGUGAAAUCCCCGGGCUCAACCUGGGAACUGCAUUUGUGACUGUAGAGCUGGAGUGCGGCAGAGGGGGAUGGAAUUCCGCGUGUAGCAGUGAAAUGCGUAGAGAUGUGGAGGAACACCGAUGGCGAAGGCAGCCCCCCUGGGUCAAGAUUGACGCUCAUGCACGAAAGCGUGGGGAGCAAACAGG
rnacentral:rRNA from 1 species